rnacentral:tRNA from 1 species
GGGCGCAUAGCUCAGUUGGUUAGAGCACUGCCUUCACACGGCAGGGGUCAGGGGUUCGAGUCCCUUUGCGCCCA